UACGUAGGGGGCAAGCGUUGUCCGGAAUCAUUGGGCGUAAAGAGCGUGUAGGCGGCCCGGUAAGUCCGCUGUAAAAGUCCAGGGCUCAACCCUGGGAUGCCGGUCGAUACUGCCGGACUAGAGUUCGGAAGAGGCGAGUGGAAUUCCCGGCGUAGCGGUGAAAUGCGCAGAUAUCGUAAGGAAGACCAGUGGCGAAGGCGGGUCUCUGGACAGUUCCUGACGCUGAGGCACGAAGGUCAGGGGAGCAAACGGG
rnacentral:rRNA from 1 species